CUGCGAGUGAGCGGGAAGCUCAAUUUAAAAUCUGGCGGCUUUGGUCGUCCGCAGUACGUUUCCUAGAGAAGUGUUUUCCGCGUUGGACCGUGUAUAAGUCUCUUGGAACAGAGCGUCAUAGAGGGUGAGAAUCCCGUCUUUGACACGGACUACCAAUGCUUUGUGAUACACUCUCAAAGAGUCGAGUUGUUUGGGAAUGCAGCUCAAAAUGGGUGGUAAAUUCCAUCUAAAGCUAAAUAUUGGCGAGAGACCGAUAGCGAACAAGUACCGUGAGGGAAAGAUGAAAAGCACUUUGGAAAGAGAGUUAAACAGUACGUGAAAUUGCUGAAAGGGAAACGAUUGAAGUCAGUCGCGUUAGCUAGAACUCAACCAGGCUUGCUUGGCGUAUUUUCUAGUUAACGGGCCAGCAUCAGUUUUGACUGCAGGAAAAAGGCCAGGGAAAUGUGGCACCUUCGGGUGUGUUAUAGUCUUUGGUCAUAUACUGCGAUUGGGACUGAGGUUCGCAGCACGCGCAAGCUGUGCUUAGGAUGCUAGCGUAAUGGCUUUAAACGACCCGU
rnacentral:rRNA from 2 species